CCAGCUGUAUCAGAAGCAUAGAAAGCAGGAAAACACCGAUCUGAACCUGCACCAGAUGCAAACGGAAAGACCAAAGAACUGGAAGAAGCAAGAGGAAUUCAGAGAGGCUUACAAAAGAAAAGCCCAGGCUCAUAUUUCCACCCCCACUGCAUGGCAUGAGGAAGAAUGGAGACCCUGUAGAAUGUCCAGGGAUUGGGACCCUAGUGGAGAUUUGAAUCUCGUGAGGAACGCAAAAAAUGGACGUGGGCAGAAGUGAUACAUUCCACUCCCAAGAUUACCCCAAGAAAACUUCCCAUGCAGCUCUCAACAUUCUCUUCCCCCUCUGUCACCUAGACACAGGCGCCAGGGUGACCUCGGAAGCCGCGUGUUAAAGACACCGCAGCCUGCAUCACACCGGUCCCUGAAUGCUCGAGACACCCCCAGACCCCUUUCAGACCUGCCAGUUGGACUUUAUGUGAACAACAAAAACCCUAUUUGUCCACUGAGAUUUCAGGAUUUUACUGUUACAGCAGCUAAUGCUUCCUUAACUAAUACAUAUAUGUAGGCACUGCUGUGGCGAACAAGAUAAACAUUCAUUUUGUUUUUCAUUCUGGCAAGAACGUUUAACAGGAGGGUAUGCAUUCAUGUAAAAAGCAACUCCAAGUUCAGAGGUUUUUCCUUGCUGUGUAUUUUCUUCAAAAACACUUCACUGACCAUUUCUAACAAUUCCAGGCACUGAGUUAGAUGUGACAUAUACAGAGGGAAACCGGUCAGUCUCUGGCCUCAAGCCUACAGUGAACCAAGAUGGCAGACACAGAAGAAAUAUACAAGUGCCUCAUUACAAAACUGCAAGUGCUUGAAGCAAACAGAGCACUGGGAGAGUCACAGAAGAGACCUAAUGCGCAAGGGGAGCAGAGGGCCAGGUUCUUCUGGGGAAGAGAUAUUUAAGCUGGAGAACACAGAUGGAUGAGUGUCAACUGAUUAAUUAAAAAUAAAGAGGGGCACCUGGCUAGCUCA
rnacentral:lncRNA from 1 species